CCAUGAUUUCAGAAAGAAAUUUAUGCAGACAAAGGGCGAGGUGUAAAAACAAUCAAUUAAAGGCGGCAUGGCGACCUCCUUCUCCCUUACCAUGAAUCUAUGAUUUCAAAAGAAAAAUGGGACAGAAGGGAAUAGCAAAGAAGCUCUGGAUUUAGUCGGGGGUUUUUUUGACUGAAGGAAACAGUUCUGUGUGGAUGCAACCGAAGAAAAUGAAUAAUUGGGAGACUGGUAAACCUGGUGAUGUAUGGCAAACAUUCCAAGCAAAACAUGAAAUGUGUUGAUGGCCACCUAUGUCACUUUUCAACAAGGCUAAAUAUGGAGGGCAAGGCUACAGCGCAAGUCCUUUGUCAGAAGGUCAUGGACAAUUCAGGAAAAGGCUGUAGUACAACAGCAACUAUAGGGAAAAUCUUUUGCUGAAAAUGUUACGAGGAAAGGCUAAUUGUUAAGAGGUCCUCCGAAAAGAACCAGUGUUGCAUGGCAGAACCUGGAAACAAAAUAAGGACCUCAUCUGGAACUGUAAUAUAAGAAGACAGCCAAGAAGAAUUUGCUUGUAUCAGAUCAGGCUGUUAGUGAGACUAUAUGAUAUUGCUGCCUAUUGAUUGUGUGUAUCCAAUAUGGUUGUCGGUUGACUGUAUAUCAGAUGUGACUAUCAGUUGACUGUGUGUAUCAGAUAUGGUUGUCAGUUGACAAUGUGUAUCAGAUAUGGCUGUCAGUUGAUAGUGUGUAUCGGAUAUGGCUGUCAGUUUACAGUGUAUAUAAGAUGUGGGUGUCAGUACAGUGUGUAUCAGAUAUGGCUGUCAGCUGGCUAUCAGAUGUGGCUGUCAGUUGACAAUGUGUAUCAGAUAUGGCUGUCGGUUGAUAGUGUGUAUCGGAUUUGGCUGUCAGUUGACAAUGCGUAUCAGAUAUGGCUGUCAGUUGACUGUGUGUAUCGAUUAUGGCUGUCAGUUGACAUUGUGUAUCAUAUAUGGCUGUCGGUUGAUAGUGUGUAUCGGAUAUGGCUGUAAGUUGACAAUGUGUAUCAGAUAUGGCUUUCAGUUGACGGUGUGUAUCAGAUAUAGCUGUCAGUAAGGUGUGUAUAAGAUAUGGCUGUCAGUACAGUGUGUAUCAGAUAAGGCUGUCAGUUGUUUAUAUCAGAUAUGGCUGUCAUUUGUCUAUAUCUGUCAUUGCUGUUAGUGGCACUAUCAAAUAUGACUAUGAAUGACGUAUAUAUUAGAACUGUAUUUUUCGUAUCAAUCAGUGUUAACAAAAAUGAAAAAUAAAUAUGUUGAGUAUA